ACCAAUCUGCUUGGCCGAUUUUGGCACUAGCACAUUUUUGCUUGUGUCUCUCCGCUCUGAGCAAUCAUGUGCAGUGCCAAGAUGGGAAAAGUGGGCCGCUGC
rnacentral:pre_miRNA from 1 species